rnacentral:tRNA from 1 species
GGGCUUUAGUUUAAGUUUGAAUGUGUAAUUUGCAAUUAUGAGGUUUAAAGUUCU